rnacentral:lncRNA from 1 species
AAAUGCAAAUAUGGGUGGCAUCUGACUUCAAAGAGGGAAGAUGUGAGAGCCAGACAACUUCAAGGUAUCUCUCAGAUUUAUAUUCUACUUCACUCCCUGGAGCCCUUUCAUAGACUACAAAAGGCAAAAAAAUGGAGCUGUCUGAUCAAGUAUGCUAUUUCUGAUGUUUCUGAGAGUCACGUAUCUUCAAUACAGCCAGAAAAGAAGAAAAAAAGAAUCACACAUACGCCUACUUAGAUAUACUCAUUCUCCUUUUUAUCAUGUUCGCAGCUAUUUCUAUUGUCUGUCUGCAAAGAAGCUAACUGCAAUGAGGUUCUUGUUUUAAAACAGAAGGAAUCCAAGAGCUGGCAUUGUUACAACUGCUGGUAGCAAAAACAAUGACACUCAAAGUAUUUUGGCUUUGGAAGUCGUCCUUGUGCAUUAAGCAACAUGUCCCUGAGAGAAUCAAAUCACGAUGUGUCACUGCAAACCUUUGUUUUAUUAAAUCACCUUGGUGGGAAAAAAGAAUAAAACUAUUCAACUGUUUGAGGAGGAAAAAAAAAAAAAAAGAUGUGGACAUUCCAAAAACAAUCUAUUUCUAAACUACUGCUUUGAUGGAAAAGCUAAAUUUGUAUAUACACUGUUCUCCAUGCAUCUCAUCAUUGUUUCUACAACACAUCCUAGUACUGUCUCAUCAAAAGAUACAUAGACUUAAAAUGGUCUUUAUUCUACAUUGGCCUCUAAACUCUAAUAGGGAUUUCAAAAAGAAAGGGAUUACAGUAUUCAUAUUUACUGCUGUGUGAUGCAGAGUCUUGUACUUAGCAUGUGUUCAGAAAAAUGGCAAAUGCAUGAAUAAUGCAUAUUUUUAAUGAAGUUUGUAAAUGUAAACAUGAUUUCAUUUCACUGUUUCCUCUUGUUCAUACAUUCUACUUCUGUGUGGCCAUGGUGAUGAAAAAGCAGACACUUACAAUGUUCUGGCAAACAUCAUUAUAGAUGUGGAAAGAGUUGAAUUUACUUAAAAUACCAUUACAUAUACUGGGAAGCCAUUGUAGUAAGAUUGUGUGUCCUGAUUUGAGAAAUCUGCACUAAAAAUGAUACAUAAUAAAGGGAACCAACAAAGUAGGUUCUAUAUUGGUGUUACUUUUCUUGUGUUUGCCAGGGAGGGGUAGAGGAAGGUAUUGGCUAUUGAACCCAGAGCUUUCUGCAUUCUGUGUCAGCACUGUACCCGUAAGGCAUAUCUUCACUCAUUGCUUUAUAUUUUAUUUUGAACAAAGUCUUUCUAAGUUUUUUCAACUUGACUUGAAUUCAUUCAUAAUCUAGUCUUUGAAGUCUGCUUCUCCAGUUUUUGCUUCUUGAAUAGUUAAGAUAUAUGUCUACUCCAACAAAUCCAGUAUAACUCCCCUCAAUAACAUAACACUUAAAAUUAUCAAUGAAUUAUACUUCCACCUAUAACUAUUAUAAUUUUACUGCAGGUAAAAUACACAAAUACAUGCACACACACACACACACACAAACACACACACAUACACAUUCCUCAAUGAAACUAUUCCACUUGUACUUUUGUAUCACUAAAAUUUUUUGAUUGUUUUUCCUGAACUCUUUCUAACCUUUCUGUAAUAAAACUAAGUAGGAUGCCAGGUAGAUCUAGCAAGAGAGGGAGGAGAAGUGGGACAAGUUGAAUAAUUAAUCAAACUAAUAAUUAAUUAUACCACCUAGGGCAAUAAUUCUAAAUUUGGCUGAAGAGUAAAAUCACUGGCAGAAAGGAAAUGAGAAAGGGAGAACUAUCUAACUGUCAGGAAGGAAAUGACAGGAGUUGUCUUUACAUUAAAUCUGUGGACCUACUAAUUUUAUAUUUGGACAAGCUGGGGAGAAUAUGUAAUGUAGGAUAGGGUUGGGGGUGGUUACACUUAUAGGAAACUGGUCAGGAGUUAUGAAGAGCAGAGGCGCCACAGUAUAAAUCAUCAGGCAAGACGUGUGUGCAGUACUGAGAAGCCAACAAGAUUUAGACAAGAUUUCGCAGCAGGCUUCCCCAACACAGCUACAAGAAUGUGGCAUCAGGAACUGUGAGAUUUAAACAGCUCAAAUAAUUUCUUCUUAAAAAUCACGAAAGUGUGACAUAUCCUGUAAAGUGUGAGCCUAAAAUGUAAGUCCACCUUGAUCACGAUAGUAAUCAUUUCAGGUAGCUCAGUAUACUCUCUCUUUUGAGUAAACAAGCAAUGGUUAAUAUAUUCAAACUCUUUUUAAAGGUAAAGGGAUCCAUAGUGAUGUUUUUCUUCUUCAUUUCAUCUACAUAUGAUUUGUAUUCUUUCUAGACUCAUCUUAUUUGGAGAAUGACAGUUGAAAAUAUUUUCAAAGAGCUAACUUUGCCUGUGUUACUUUUAUCUAUUAUGCAUAUAUUGUCUACUUUAUAGAUUUAUGGUUUGGUAUGUGUAUUAUUUUCUCUAUUUCUACUUUGUGCAAGUUUAAAAUGCUGGUCUUGUCUGUCUUUAAUCAAAGGUCCCAGACUUUUAAUGCUCCUUCAUUUUGAAUACAUUCAAUAAAAACUGUAAAUUUCUUGUGUGCUUUCUUUU